AAAUACUUUAGAGGGAUAUAAAAAUAUGCUAGGGGUCUCUACAAUUUAAAUAAAUGUGGGUUUAGGGUUUCGUUUCUCAUAGCCCGAAGAUUCUCUUACAAUUUCGAAUUUCGGUAGCCAUGGCGAGCACCAAAGUGCAGAGGAUUAUGACCCAGCCCAUUAACUUGAUAUUCAGGUUUCUUCAAAGUAAAGCUCGUAUUCAGAUUUGGCUAUUUGAGCAAAAGGACCUGAGGAUUGAAGGCCGAAUCAUUGGAUUUGAUGAGUACAUGAAUUUAGUGCUUGAUGAUGCUGAGGAAGUUAAUGUCAAGAAAAAGAGUAAAAAGGCACUUGGGAGGAUUCUUCUUAAGGGAGACAAUAUUACACUAAUGAUGAACUCGGGAAAAUGAUGCAGCAGAACACAUUAUUGAGAUAAAGUUUUCACUUUCGUUGCAACUCUUCUGGGUAUAUAUCCAUAGACUUAAUAUUGGGCCAAGCUCUCCAGCAGUAGUAUGAGUAUCCAAGUUCAAGCUAUUAUCCAGGAAGGAUAAAAAAGCACUUAACAAGAGGCCCAUAGGCAGUAUUGGGUGUGGGGCAAUCAUGAAGUUGCAAAGGGGAAGGUGAAGCAGAUAAAAGGCAGACAUCCAUUAGUAGACUUCUGGUGAUAAAAGGUAAUCUGAGCACCAGGGUGUGGGAAGAAAGAUUGGACUACGAACGAAGCCAAGAGAAGGUGGUGGUGGCCGGUGGGACACACAUGGGGUCAGGGAAUCACGCCCUUCUAGCUCGUUUAACCAUUGUCUUCUGCUUGCAACUGGCAAUAUGAGAAAAGGCAUGUCUACCCUUGAGUUGGAAAACGAGUGCGCCAUCGCAUUUGUUCUUCUUUUGCAUUUAUUGGUUACUGACUCAUCUUCCACACUCAUCAUUUCUCUUCCUCUCUCCUACUUGGUGCAAAUACGCCACUCCAUUCCAUUUGGUGCUUUCUUUGACACAUUCCAUAACCCCUGAUUUCCUUCUCAUGAUUGGAGAAAUGCAUGAUUGUUUCACAGUGCUUGACACAACAUGAAAACAUCACUAUUCUUUUAUUUUACUUUCUUAUCGGUUGUGUUGAA